CCUACGGGAGGCAGCAGUGAGGAAUAUUGGUCAAUGGACGCAAGUCUGAACCAGCCAAGCCGCGUGCAGGAAGACGGCUCUAUGAGUUGUAAACUGCUUUUGUACGAGGGUAAACGCAGAUACGCGUAUCUGUCUGAAAGUAUCGUACGAAUAAGUAUCGGCUAACUCCGUGCCAGCAGCCGCGGUAAUACGGAGGAUUCAAGCGUUAUCCGGAUUUAUUGGGUUUAAAGGGUGCGUAGGCGGUCUGAUAAGUUAGAGGUGAAAGCCCGAGGCUCAACCUUGGAAUUGCCUCUGAUACUGGUCGGCUAGAGAGUAGUUGCGGUAGGCGGAAUGUGUGGUGUAGCGGUGAAAUGCUUAGAUAUCAUACAGAACACCGAUUGCGAAGGCAGCUUACCAGGCUACAUCUGACGUUGAGGCACGAAAGCGUGGGGAUCAAACAGGAUUAGAUACCCCAGUAGUC
rnacentral:rRNA from 1 species